CACAAUUAAAAUGUCCCAACACGGUCCGUAUAAAGAAUUCGACCCGACUUUAAUCUCUAACUUGUAUUCCUUUUAAACUAAUAGCGGCUGCUGUAGAUAUUAACGGCAACCUAAAAUGAUACCUUACAGAUACACCGUGUCGCAGAAUAACCGGUGUUAUCACUUUCUUACUUUAGCCUCGUGAAAUCAAAGAAAUAAAAGAUUUCUUGCUUACAGCACGAAGAAAAGAUGCGAGAUCUGUGAAGAUAAUGAAGAAAAAAGAUAACUCAGUCAAGUUUAAAGUUCGAUGUAGUCGCAAUUUGUACACUUUGACUGUUCAAGA